rnacentral:rRNA from 1 species
UACAGAGGGUGCUAGCGUUGUUCGGAAUCAUUGGGCGUAAAGGGCGUGUAGGCGGUUUGUUAAGUCAUGUGUGAAAUCCCUCGGCUCAACCGGGGAACGACGCAUGAAACUGGCAAGCUAGAGUACCAAAGAGGGGGGUGGAAUUCCCGGUGUAGCGGUGAAAUGCGCAGAUAUCAGGAGGAACACCGGUGGCGAAGGCGGGUCUCUGGGCCGAUACUGACGCCGAGGAGCGAAAGCGUGGGGAGCGAACAGG